rnacentral:lncRNA from 1 species
GAAAAUUAAAUGGAAUAAAAUUUAAAAGAUUAUUUAACCCAGUCUGAGACAGAAAAAGAAAAUGGUUUGGGAUGAGUGUCAUAGCAGUCGUCUCUCUUGUGUAACUAGGACAAACCUGUGAUGUCUGGAUAGAGGGAAGGUCAUUCUCAGCCACUCGUUUCUUCUGGUCCUUGAUUCUCUUCCUGCUGUCAGGGGGGAGGUGGGGAGGAUGUUGCUGCGUCAUUCCUGUGUCCUAGUCUAGUCGUCCAGCAAGCUGAGAAACAGCAUCUGAAGGGUAUCAGAUUCGCUGGGGACUGAGAAAACAGCUUACCUCUUCUAUGUGGGAAAAAGGUAGAAUGAGAGGGAGCCGGGAGCCGUCAGUCCGAGCCGUUGCUGUCAUAUGAGGGAACUUCUACCCAGAGAAUUAUGAUAAUUCUGCGAGGGUCCCAGGACUGGUAAAUCAGAGAGACGAGACUAGGACGCAGGAUUCCGCCGCCCAUGGUCCUGCCCAGGACGUGUGUGCGUGUGAGUGAAUGCUGUUUUGUUUUGUUUGUUUUUAGCACUGAAGACGUUGACUGGAGACUUGCUGGCAAGCACAACUUACGAAAGGAACAAGGGAAAGAGACGCAGCCAUAGCUACAAGAAGCACCUGGGACGGGGGAGGCGCAGCGAACUGGCGGGGAGCCCGAGUCUUUCUUGUCACUCAGGGUCCUCCCUGCCCUCUCGGCCGCUGCCUGGUUACACGCCUGCCCCCAACUUCCCCCCUCUCGCAUUAGGGCUGCUUUCAAAUGACUUCUGCUGGAACUGGGCAAGUUAAUUUCUCAAGCUUCCUUUCCCAAGGGCUUCCUGGUGCACUUAGAGGGGAAGAGACACUCAACAUGUGCGGGGGAUGUGGGCUUAAUCAGGAUGGCGAUGAGAAGAAAAUUGGAUUAACAUUUACAGAACGUAUUUUGUGCCAGGCCUUAUGUACUUAGGCUCUUCAUGUAGAUUUUCACAGAAUCCUUACAUCAGCCCUGUGAAGUUUAUCGUAAUCUCUGUGUACACUUGAAGAAACUGAGAUCGUGGAGAUUAAUCACCUGAACUGAUAUGUGACUGAAUUAUAGUGGGAACCCAGAUUCCCUGACUUCUGAGGCCAUGUGUGCUCUCUCUGUUAUAGGCUGUUGCCUGGGCAGCAGGCUGAGUGGAGAGGGAGUGUGGAAUAGAGACAAAAGGAGGUUCUCUAGAGGCUGUAAAAUGGAAAGAAACUCCUUGCUGGGGUAGAAAUAAUGACUUUCCCCAAAAUGUGCCUUGAAAUUAAAAUGGCAGCAGAAAACCUUUCAAACUCAGGCCCUGUAGUAUAUACAGCCCUGUAUUCUGUUCCUGACAACACCCAGGGAAAGUGUAUAGAAGGGCAUUAUUUUAUUUUGCUGAGAAAGAUUGGCCCUGAGCUAACAUCUGUGCUAGUCUUGCUCUAUUUUGUACCUGGAUUGCUGCCACAGCGUGGCUGCUGAUGAGCAGUGUAGGUCCACACCCGGGAACCGAAUCUGGGCCGCUGAAGCGGAACAUGCCGAACUUAGCCACUAGGCCCACAGGGCUGGCCCCUAAAUGGGCGUUUUUAUCUUCCAUGUGGUAAGGGAGAUGAGAUGAGUGUAUAAACAAGUAACUUAGGAAUCGGUCCAGGGGAAGUGGCAGUCUAAGCUGCCAUGAGGGUAAGGAGGCUUGAAGCCACGGGGUGACUUGCAGCCCGUGUGUGCUGCAGUGCUGGGAUCAUGCCCCAGUCAACAGGAGCGGACGUGGACAUUCUCUGUAACCCAUCAUGUUUGCUUUUAAAUAGCCAGACUUUUCUCAAAAGCUGUCUGUGUGCACUGCUUGCUCCGGUCUGGCUUCUGCCCUCACCUCUUCACUGUCACACCUCUCACUGAGGUCGCUAAUGUCCACCAAGUAGCUGGAGUCAGCAGGCGUUUUUAGUCUUCAGUGUUCUCAGUGGAGCUGACUGUGUUGACUGCUCCUCCCUUCCGGAAGCACCCUGUCCUAUUCUCCCACGUCUAUGUUGUUUUUGCAGGCUCGUCCUCCAUUCUACAGCUGUUAGUGUUCUGCUCUCCCAGACGCUCCUCUCUCAGGGUAGACGCUCUCCCUGGUGACCUCACCCAGCCCACUGGCUUUAGUAGCCUUGCCUCCGUGCACAUGACUCAUGAAUUUCUGUCUCCUGCCCCCUCGCUCCCCUGUGCUGAGGACCCAUCUAUUUAUUGUCAGUCAGGCACUGUUCCAAACACUGGGGAUACAGUGAUGAACUGGACAGAAAGGGGGGUAGGCGUGGGGAGGAAGACAAGAAAUAGACAAAAUAUCAGGAGGGUUAAGUGCUAAGGUGAGCAUUAAGCCCGGUGACUGGCAUGUUAGGUUGAGCGCUGCUUCGUAUUGGCUGGCUGGGUCUUUAAAGAGGUGGGAAAAUUGAAGCUGACCAAAAGGAGCCAGCUGUACGAAGGGAAGAGGGAAGAGCUGGUGCAGAGGCCUUAAGGCCAGAAUGAACACGGUGUGUGCAGGAGACAGGAAGCGAG